rnacentral:rRNA from 1 species
ACACAUGCAAGUCAUGGGGGCUCGAGGCGCAAGCUUUGGGCAACCGGCGAACGGGUGCGUAACACGUGAGCAACCUACCCAGGUGUGGGGGAUAGCCGUUCCAACGGACGGGUAAUACCGCAUACGCUCAACACGAGGCAUUUCGAGUUGAGGAAACCUUCGGGGCACCAUGAGGGGCUCGCGGCCUAUCAGCUAGUUGGCGAGGUAACGGCUCACCAAGGCUACGACGGGUAGCUGGUCUGAGAGGAUGACCAGCCACAUUGGGACUGAGAAACGGCCCAGACUCCUACGGGAGGCAGCAGUGGGGAAUCUUGCGCAAUGGCCUAACGGCUGACGCAGCGACGCCGCGUGAGGGAUGACGCUCUUCGGAGUGUAAACCUCUUUUGCCUGGAACGAACUGUCAGCUUCAGCUGAUUUGACGGUACCGGGUGAAUAAGCACCGGCUAACUCCGUGCCAGCAGCCGCGGUAAUACGGGGGGUGCGAGCGUUGUCCGGAAUCACUGGGCGUAAAGGGCGCGUAGGUGGCAUGAUAAGGGUGUGGUGAAAGCCCGGGGCUCAACCCCGGGUCUGCCAUGCCGACUGUCACGCUCGAGUACUGUAGGGGCAGGCGGAAUUCCGGGUGUAGCGGUGGAAUGCGUAGAGAUCCGGAGGAAGACCGGUGGCGAAGGCGGCCUGCUGGGCAGUUACUGACACUGAGGCGCGACAGCGUGGGGAGCAAACAGGAUUAGAUACCCUGGUAGUCCACGCCGUAAACGAUGGGUACUAGGUGCCUGGGGGAGCGACCCCUUGGGUGCCGGCGCUAACGCAGGAAGUACCCCGCCUGGGGAGUACGGCCGCAAGGCUGAAACUCAAAGGAAUUGACGGGGGCCCGCACAAGCGGUGGAGCAUGUGGUUUAAUUCGACCAACGCGAAGAACCUUACCUAGGCUUGACAUGCAUGGGAAACUCCUGAGAAACCAGGAGCCUCCUUCGGGAUCCAUGCACAGGUGCUGCAUGGCUGUCGUCAGCUCGUGUCGUGAGA